CCCUUAGAUGUUCUGGGCCGCACGCGCGCUACACUGAUGCAUUCAACGAGUCUAAAACCUGCUCUGAUAGGGGUGGGUAAUCUUUUGAAUGUGCAUCGUGAUUGGGAUAGAUGAUUGCAAUUUUUCAUCUUCAACGAGGAAUGCCUAGUAAACGCAAGUCAUCAGCUUGCAUUGAUUACGUCCCUGCCCUUUGUACACACCGCCCGUCGCUCCUACCGAUUGAAUGAUCCGAUGAAUAUCAUGGAUUGAGGAUUAUAGCGGGUUCGCCUGUCUUGAUCUUCGAGAAGUGAAGUAAAUCUUAUCAUUUAGAGGAAGGAGAAGUCGUAACA
rnacentral:rRNA from 1 species